rnacentral:rRNA from 1 species
UACGGGGGAGCAAGCGUUGUUCGGAUUUACUGGGCGUAAAGGAUGCGUAGGCGGGCAGGUAAGUCCGUGGUGAAAUCUCUGAGCUUAACUCAGAAACUGCCAUGGAUACUAUUUGUCUUGAAUAUUGUGGAGGUGAGCGGAAUAUGUCAUGUAGCGGUGAAAUGCUUAGAUAUGACAUAGAACACCAAUUGCGAAGGCAGCUCACUACACAAUUAUUGACGCUGAGGCACGAAAGCGUGGGGAUCAAACAGG